UAAAAUGUGCGGACCUGUAAGGUUCGAAUCAACGUGUAGCCCGGUAGCACUGUGUAUGGGGGAAUCGCAUGUUACUAGCAUUUAUUCGGCAGUCCGACACAACUUUCUAUUUUACACCGAUUUUUUAAAAUAUUAAACAGAGAUUUAUGUGCACGUGGCAACAAGUACAUCUCAACAUGAUGACAUCGCCCUGAUCUUGCCCGCAAUGCAACGAAGUUCAGCAAAGUAGUAGUGUGAGGACUGCGGGCCGAAUCCCUGUGCAUGAAGACUCGUACUGGAAAUCAGCAGGCCACGUCAGUUGUAAGAGAUUGUCAGGAAAAUGACUGAAGUUUUUCCCAGUGAUCCCAUUGGCCGACGUAUAAUUUGUGAUGGGGAAUAUGCAACAGUGCGCUAUGCUGGGACGGUGCCACCUACACCAGGCACAUGGCUUGGAGUAGAGUGGGACAACCCUUUGAGAGGAAAGCAUGAUGGAUCCCAUGAAGGAACAAGAUAUUUUACAUGCAG